GACGAACGCUGGCGGCGUGCUUAACACAUGCAAGUCGAACGGACAGGCCCUGCUUUUGUGGGGUGGUCGAGUGGCGAACGGGGGAGUAACACGUGAGUAACCUGCCCCUGACUUUCUGGUAACUCCAUGAAACUGGGGCUAAAACCGGGGAGGAGCUCCUGCUCCGUAUGGGUGGUUGGAGAGAGUCGGCUGUUGGGGAUGGUCUCGCGGCUUAUCAGCUUGUUGGUCUGGUAGUUGCUUACCAGGGUUUUGACGGGUAGCCGGCCUGAGAGGGUGACCGGCGUCAUGGGGACUGAGAUACGGGCCAGAAUCGUAGGGGGGGCAGCAGUGGGGAAGCUUGCAGAAUGGGGCGAAGUCUGAUGCAGAAACGCCGCGUGCGGGAUGACGGCCUUUGGGUUGUAAACCGAUGUCGCCGGUGCUGAGGCGUGCGUGACGGUAACGGGUAAAGAAGCACCGGCUAACUACGUG
rnacentral:rRNA from 1 species